ACCCGCUGAAUUUAAGCAUAUAAGUAAGCGGAGGAUGAGAAACUAAAUAGGAUUCCCUUAGUAAUGGCGAACGAACAGGGAAGAGCUCAGAUUGUAUAUCGGGGCCUCUGGCUUCGAAUUGUAGUCUCGAAAUGCAACGCCAACGGAGGCGCAGAUUUAAGCCCCUUGAAAGAGAGCGCCGACGAGGGUGAGAGUCCCGUUUGUCAAUCUGCAGCCCUCCGUACACGGCUUGCACUUGCAGAGUCACGUUCCUCGGGAUUGGAGCGCAAAGUGGGUGGUAAAUUUCAUCUAAAGCUAAAUACGUGUUUGAGACCGAUAGCACACAAGUACCAUGAGGGAAAGAUGAAAAGGACUUUGAAAAGAGAGUUAAAAGUGCCUGAAAUUGCUGCAAGGGAACGGAUGGAACCAAGUCCACACGGUGAGAUUGUUGGGUGGAGGCGAAGGGAGUUGCACUUUCAACGCAAGUGUGAGUGUGAGUUCUGGUCGUCUCUCGCCCGGUGGUUCUUGCCGUGGGGGUCAUUGGUGAUUGGUGGCCGAGGAAUACCUGCAAAGGCAUGGUAGCCCGUCUCCGGGUGGGUGAACGCGUUUGUUAGUACUCGGCCGCUGAUCAUGUGAGUGGUGUCCGGUAACCGGCGAACGACUUCGGUGGCCCAGCCGCUUGGGUUGAUCGUGGGUCCUGACACACGCUACGACCAAAUGGUUCUUUCCGACCCGUCUUGAAACACGGACCAAGG
rnacentral:rRNA from 1 species